ACGGAGGGUGCAAGCGUUGUUCGGAAUUACUGGGCGUAAAGAGCGUGUAGGCGGCUGAUCAAGUCGGGUGUGAAAGCCCGGGGCUUACCCCCGGAAGUGCGCUCGAAACUGGUCAGCUAGAGUAUGGGAGAGGGAAGUGGAAUUCCUGGUGUAGCGGUGAAAUGCGUAGAUAUCAGGAGGAACACCGGCGGCGAAGGCGGCUUCCUGGACCAAUACUGACGCUGAGACGCGAAAGCGUGGGGAGCAAACAGGAUUAGAUACCCUGGUAGUCCACGCUGUAAACGAUGGGCACUAGAUGCUGCGGGUAUUGACCCCUGCGGUGUCGUAGUUAACGCGUUAAGUGCCCCGCCUGGGGAGUACGGUCGCAAGAUUA
rnacentral:rRNA from 1 species